GCUUAUAGCUCAGCUGGUUAGAGCGCACGCCUGAUAAGCGUGAGGUCGAUGGUUCGAGUCCAUUUAAGCC
rnacentral:tRNA from 6 species